rnacentral:lncRNA from 1 species
UGGCAUAUUCCUUCAAGCUGGCUAUGUUUUUACGAAAGUCUUUCUAGAAGAGCUGAUAAUCAACAACUCUUUUUUUUAUUUUUGAGGAAGAUUAGCAUUGAGCUACAUCUGUGCCCAUCUUCCUCUACUUUGUAGAUGGGACAUCUGCCACAGCAUGGUUUGACAAGCAGUGUGUCGGUCCACACCUGGGAUCCAAAUAGGCAAACCCUGGGCUGCUGAAGUGGAAUGUGAGAACUUAACCACUACACCAUCAGGCCAGCCCUUCAACAACUCUUAACAAAUCUUUGUAAUCUACAAGGAACAAGGUGACAAUGAUUUAAACAGUCUCAAACAGCUCAUCCCUCAGUUGAGAAAGCUGAGCGCUCCCUUUACACCACACUCUGAAUUAAGUAAGCCACCACAGUCCUUCGGUUCUAACGCAGCACUUCCACGGCUCCUGGAAAGACUAAUGAAGCCCAAGCAUAUUCAUGACAGUUCAAAAGAAGUCCCAUGAGCCCACUUACACUCCUUAUGCAGCACGCGUUUUUCAAAGGUUGACUUAUUUUUAGUGCAUGGCACUGGCUCUCUUUCAAAGGCUCUGUAUUA